rnacentral:lncRNA from 1 species
AAGUCAAGCACCCAAGCUGCAUGAGGCCACCGCACCAUAAAGUUUCUUAAAGAAUAAUAACUUUAGGGAACAAGACCCUUCAGUAAUGAAGCCCUCAAGCCUGUGAUCUCUGUCUUAGUCCAUUUGUGAUGCUAUACCAAAACACCUGAGACUGGGUCAUUUAUAAAUAAUAAAAAUUUUCACAGUUCUGGAGGCUGGCAAGUCCAAGAGCAAGACUUGAUGUCUGACGAGGGCCUGGUUUCUGUUGCCAGAUGGUGCCUUGAACACUGUGUCCUCAUAUGGCAGACGGGCAAAGGGCUGAAUGCUCUCUGAAGCCUGGCUUCUAAGGGCAGGAUGGUAGAGCCUUAUGAUUCAAUCACCUCCUCAAGGCCCCACCUCUUAAUACGGUUGCACUGGGGAUUAAGUUUCAACAUGAAUUGUGGAGGGAACACAAACGUUUAAGCCACAGUAAUCCCAAAGGGGAAUCAUCUUACCCCACUGGGGAGAGCUGUCAUGCAACUUUUCAGAUUUGACUUUCAGAAGCACAGUCUUUGACCAGAGCUGGUGGAAUGGACAGAACUGCCAGUCUUCAAACAGAACAAGGAUCGUGGUGGGUGCCCAAGCUCCUCCUGAGCACCCCUUCCCAGCAUCCCAGGUCCCACCUUUCCCCCACAGCAUUCGGUGUGGGCCCAAUGAGGAAUGGAUCCCCUGGGUCACAGUGUAGGACUGUGCCUUCCCCGGAAAGCCCGGUGUCCUAGAGCCCAGGAAAGUGUUCUAGGGUGCGGCACAGUCAGAAAAACAGAGAGGAGUUGAUGAUAGCCAGAGGGUUUCACCCCAGGAGGCACAGCCUACACCAACCUCAGAACUGCACAGAGGUUCUUUAAUAAGUAGCCAGUCCUGGCAUUGUCCACUCAAAAUGUUCCACCUGAACUUACAGUGAACCCAGACUCCUUAUUUGCCCUAUGGGUCCUUCCCCAUCUGACCUUCACCUGCUCCUCUUCAUCCUCCCCUCCCAGCUCACUCCUCCCACUCAUGUCCAGCCAGGCUGUUCUUUCUUCCCUACUAUUGUAGGUUUGCCCAGCCAGUCCCAGCCUCAGGGCCUGUGCACUUGCCCUUUCCUGGCCUAAAAUGUACACCACUCCCGAACCCCCAGUCACAUGUGACUGAGUCCCUCUGAUCUUUCUGCUACUGCCCAGAUUUCAUCUGCACAAGAGGUCUUUCCUGCUCACCUGAACAUUCACUCUUCCCCAUAGACACUCACUUUCCCUAAUUCUAUUCCUAGCACCUGUCACUAUUGGAAUUUUUCAUUUCUUUUUUGUUUAUUGUCUGUCUUCCCUACUUAGGAUCUACAUUCCAUGAGGGUAGGUGUGAUGGUUAAUACUGAGUGUCCACUUGAUUCGAUUGAAGGAUGUAAAGUAUUGAUCCUGGGUGUGUCUGUGAGGGUGUUGCCAAAGGAGAUUAGCAUUUGGGUCAGUGGGCUGGGACAGGCAGACCCACCCUUAAUCUGGGUGGGCACCAUCUAAUCAGCUCCUAGAAUACAAAGCAGGCAGAAAAACAUGAAAAGACUAGACUGGCUUAGCCUCCCAGCCUGCAUCUUUCUCCUGUGCUGGAUGCUUCCUGCCCUGGAACAUCGGACUCCAAGUUCUUCAGCUUUGGGACUCAGACUGGCUUCCUUGCUCCUCAGCUUACAGAUGGCCUAUUGUGGGACUUUGUGAUCGUGGUCUCAUUCUGUCAUCCAAGUUGUUGUGCAGUGACGUGAUCUCGGCUCAUUU